GACGAACGCUGGCGGCGUGCCUAAUACAUGCAAGUCGAGCGAAUUUUUGGGAGCUUGCUCCCAAAGGUUAGCGGCGGACGGGUGAGUAACACGUGGGCAACCUGCCUAUAAGACUGGGAUAACUUCGGGAAACCGGAGCUAAUACCGGAUAAUUCAUAUCUACUCCUGUAGGUAUGCUGAAAGACGGUUUACGCUGUCACUUAUAGAUGGGCCCGCGGCGCAUUAGCUAGUUGGUGAGGUAACGGCACACCAAGGCAACGAUGCGUAGCCGACCUGAGAGGGUGAUCGGCCACACUGGGACUGAGACACGACCCAGACUCCUACGGGAGGCAGCAGUAGGGAAUCUUCCGCAAUGGACGAAAGUCUGACGGAGCAACGCCGCGUGAGUGAUGAAGGUUUUCGGAUCGUAAAACUCUGUUGUUAGGGAAGAACAAGUACUAGAGUAACUGCUAGUACCUUGACGGUACCUAACCAGAAAGCCACAGCUAACUACGUGCCAGCCGCCGCUGUAA
rnacentral:rRNA from 1 species